CAGAUCCCUAAAGAAAGACGGGUUGGAUGGCCUGCUUAAAGACUGACAGGAACCGCUACUUGGAUCAAGAAAAAGCAAAAAGAAAAAUUACAUUUUUGAGUAUGUUUUCUGCACAUAUCCCAAAGAAGUGCAGCAACCAUUGUCAUACAGACCUGGUGACAAAAUUCUGUUUAAAGCACACCAUCUGUGCAUGAUUUCAUUAAACAUACCAGGACUUGGGAAGUUUGAGUUAAGAACUGGCUUGGGCAUUCCAAGAUCAUAUCUCAGAAAACAUCCUGGAUGCUGGGAUUAAAGUGUAACCGUUGAUGAACUCCACUCUCCGCGAAAAAUAAUACCAAGAUUUUUGGAGUUCAUAGCUCACAAUUCAACAGUUCUUAAUCCUUAUACACAUACAGAGAGAUUUUCACAUACUUGUCCAGAAUGAAAAGCAAUGUAGACAAAAAAUUCUCUUUGAACAAACACAAUAGUAUAAGUGAAGAAUGAUUUCCAAGGCCCUCUGCUCCGCAUAGGAACCUUAGAUCAGAAUCUGACCCUAUCAGUACUGAUACUACUUAACUGUGAGUGGUCCUUAGUAACAGGUACUGAGCUCAGUGAUUCCUAAUGUCAACCUAGCGGGACCUGGACUUGUUACAAUACACACAUAGACCACUGCUAAGUUCCAGGAGCUAAAUACUGCCUCGUUGAUCCUAAGCAUAUAGGAUAAAGGGCUUUCCCUUCCAGAACAGUUAAUAUGCCUGGGCCAUGUGUUACUGAAGUACAGCAGAUCUAUCACAGUUUUAAAAACAAUGCUGUCUUUUUCUUUUCCUUUGGAGCUGGGGACCGAACCCAGGGCCUUGCACUUGCUAGGCAAGCGCUCUACCACUGAGCUAAAUCCCCAACCCUAAUACUGUCUUUUUAAGACAGGGUUUUACCUUAUAGACUAGGUUGGCCCCAAAUUUGGCAAUCCAUCUGCUUUUGCCUCCUGAGUGCUAGUAUUAUUUAAGGGGUUACUUUCUGUGGGUUGUAGGUAUAGGUGAGUGCUGAUGUCAGAGGAGGCCAGAGGUGCCAGAUCUCCCUGUACCUAGUUAACUAAGUAACUAUGAGGUACCCAACUUAGUUGUUGGGACCCAAACUUCAGCCGGAUGAUAGAACAACAUUCACAGUUAACCAGUAGGCAUCACCAAUUCCUUGAGAGCUACAUCCACUCCGUCUUCCUGGUCCUAUUUUCCCGCACUCACCACCACCAGGUCUUGAGAUGGAUUGGAUUAGCCUGUAAUUUAGAACUCUGGUUGCCUUCCAAAAGCUGCGAUUGCUGGCUUCUCUAACCAGCUUCUGGCUUCUGUUUUUGUUUAAAAAAAUAAAUAACUGGGUGUGGUGGUACGUGCUUUUAAGUCCUGGCACUGGGGACAUGAAGGUAGGAGGAUAUUCAAGGUCAGCUUGGUGUAGAGUUUCCAGGACAGCCUGGCCUAUAUAAACUCAACCAGUUGUGUUUUUAAGACGGGAUUUCUGUAACCCCAUAGUAUAAUCAUGCCAUGUUUGUAUAUACAAGGCACUAAUUUUGGUCUGUCAAAGAAUCUGCUCUGUAGCCAGGCUGACCUCAUGUUCUGGCCUGCCUCUGCCCACUGAGCGCU
ensembl:lncRNA